ensembl:lncRNA
GCACGGCGCUGAUCGCUGCGUGACGGAGCCGCGCGGGGGGCGGCGCGGGGCUCGGCCGGAGCUGAGAUGAAGUUAAAGUACAAACAGGAGCACAUAGCUGACAUGCUUCAAGUUGAGACAGUUCGAGAUAUGCAGAUGUGCGGGGCUGCGCGGUAUUGACAUUUUGAGGCCACGGUGAUCGGAAUGUAUUAUUUAUAGGAGCGGGUUGCGCUGGGCCCAUAAACUGCAUCUUACGUCCUCGGCGUCGGUAGGCAGCAAUACGUGUGUGUGUGUGUGCUCACACCUAUAGCCGUCUGUUUGUGUGUGCAUCGCGUGUCCCACAGCCCCAUCCCCAUGCAGGCCGCGUGCCCCAGUGAGGCCGUCGGCCCCAUUCCCCCCACGUCCCCUUCUCACAUACGUUCUCUCCGGCCCUGGAAACGCGUCGGCCUCCUCGCAGUGCUGUCCCUCUGCCAGGAACCGUUCCCUUCCUGCACUCCAACAGCUCCUGAAACGAGGGGAAGUGCCGUGGGUGGGUGCUGGAGAGCGGAUUGUUUCUCAUGUAAAUGUUACCCCGUCUCUCUGCACUUUGUGUCUUUGCUUUCCCCUUUGCCAGUUCUUGCUGAGGGAAAGAAAAAGGAAAAAAAAAAAAAAAAACAACCCAACAAAGAUUAAUGUCAUGUAAAAUGGGAGGGGUGGGGGACAGAGCUAGAGGUGAACUUCCACAUCCCCUUCCUCUGGGCGUCCUGGUAGCUUUUCCAUAGAAACUUUCACCCAGUGGUCAGACAGACACUUAAAAGGGGGUGGAAGAAAAUAAUGACAGCCCCCCGACCCCCCGGCAUCGCAGCAUCCCCUGCUCACGGGCUGCUGGUGCUGAGCUCGGCUGCAGCACUGUGACUGCCGCCCGCAGCUCCCGGCAGUGGGAGCGCGGCUCCCCGGGGGACAGCAGCCGUGGUGGUGCUCGUGGGGUUCCCCAAGUGGAGAAAAUUCCCAUUCAUUUGGCGAGGAAACAUUUUGCUACGUGUGUUUCAACAAAACACUAAAAACCCUGCUCGUGUUUUUUUUAGCAAUCACUCGCACAGCCUGACGGCCUCCCACAGCCCCAGCCCGGCCCGCGACAGCUCCGAGAGGCCUCUCCUCCUCCCUCCUCGCUGCUGGCUGCUCUUUUCCUGUCUAAUCAAUUAUCUCCCUAGCUAGUCCUUCUCAAAGGUGAGAGCUCAUUAUGCAUAUUCAUAAAUCACAGCUCCCAGCCCUGACACUGAUUGAUGUAAUCAUCUCCUGCCUGCGCCUUCCUGCACCCGAGGAGCGCAGUGCGGAGCAGUGGGACGGGGCUGGGGCUGGUGGCCGUGCAGGGCCGAGUGGGCAGUGUGGGGCAGGGCAGGAGGCAGCCCCAUGCUGAGAGGUGCCCCGUGCAGCCAGCCGUGUGCAGGAGGAACGGAAACCAUGAGGUAAAGGCCCCCGACACACGCAUAGUUUUUACAGCCAGGAGUCGGAACGGGCAUGAAAAUAACCCCCCAGAUCUGACGCGUCAGCUCACGCGCUUGCUUUCAUUUUCCUCGGGAAGUUAAAGCUGGAAAGGGGUAUUCUGGUACGGAUCUGAUCACGAGCGUUUAGAUAUUUGAUACAGCAAAUAGCUUUAGCGCUAUGCCCAACUGUUCUCAGUAGCUACGUUUUAGAAACUGAAAGAAAAAAGUUGCAAAUGACGAAAGUUCCUGCUGAGAGGGCUGGGGAGCAGAAGGGCUCCCAGCCCGCGGCUCUCGGAUAGGGACGUGCAUCGCUGUGAUUUGUUUCCCAGGCGUGCUCCAGCACGGAGCCUUCGGGUGCUGCUCAGGCUGUGAGCUGUACCUGUACGGUUCACACUCACAGUUUUAAAAUGCCUCUUUUUAUCGCUUUGAUCAGAACUAUCAGUGUACUGGAGGAGUAAUACAAAAAUAUAUGCCCUGAAAAUCACGACGAGAUACAAAUCAAAGGGAGUCCUAAUCAAAUACUUUUGAGAGCGUUAUCUUCCUUGUUAACAAAUGGUAAUAAGAAAAUUAAGGCUUAUAGCUUGCUUGCAUUUUAUCUAAGAGAACCAAUAAAGAUAUCAGAUGCUCUUUGUUUUAUAUGUUUGAAUGUAAAGCAGCAUAAUGAAGAACACGCACCUUCCAAGGGUUCAUUUGCUUUAUGGAUAUUAACCCUUCACAAUGCUGGUGAAUUUGCAGGGUGAGGAGGAGGCUGUGCUGCUACCCACGUUUUUGGGGCCAGCCCUCGCUGCGCUCGGGACAACGUCUUUUUUAUUAAAUGCUGAAAUUGGAACAAAGCAACAAUGGCUGCUUGCUAACUAUGCAUGUCCAACAGGCCUCUUUUCUAUUCAGCAAAUGGAAGAUAUUAAACAACAUUUUGCUUAAAGGUACUCCGAGGCCAUUUCCAUUAGGACAUGGUGUCAUUCAUUUAUUCACAUGUUAAGUGGAUGUCCUUGUGGCUAAUGAGUAAUAAUCAACAGUGACUCCACUUUAUUCCUUUGCUCCCAGCAAUGUUAAAUACUCUGAUGGAGUCUCUUUGCUGACACACUAGAGAAUAUGGUUAAAAAGUGCUAAAGGACAUUUUCAGCAUAGAGCAGCCACAUACACGCGUGCUGGAAAGAGCACUUUUAUUACGGUCUGUUCUGUUCGGCUUUGUUCCUCGUUAAGGCAUGGCACAUGGAAAGCACUGCUGUUUAUCUGAAGGCAGUUUGUACCCUAAGACCCAGAGCUCUCGUGGCUCAUGAGUCGCUGGGUUACUGUGGGAAGAUGAGCUCUUGUCCACCUGGCUUAUCAAAAAUAAAACAGCCCACUCCUCGCUUCUGUGGAGGGCUUCACGCAGAGAUGUUUGCUGGGCGAGUGAUUUGGGACAGAACCUUUCCCCCCCGAAAAUCUUGUUUGAUGUUGAUUUUAUAAAAUAAAGAAACUCUCCCACCAGCUGAUUAAUCCGUUUUAUUACAUCAACCUCAGCAGCUAAGGAGGUUAAUAAACUAUAUUAAUAUCUAUUUUUUUCCUUCAUGCGAUUGCUUACUCUGGAGUCUGCAGCUUGGUUGUCUCCCAUGUCAAUUCCUAAAGUUUGAAAGUCUAACUUGCUUCCAAGAGAGGCAAAGCGCAAGCUUCACUGAGAAGUUCGACCAUCCCUAUUCCAAAAUAAUUUAAUGGAAAUGGACAUCCAAGAUGGCUAUUGAACAGCAGCCUUCGUGCCCGAGUUCUCGGAUGGAGACUUUUGCAAGUUAUUCCCAGAGAAGACAGUGCCAGAAAUGUAUGCCUGAUAGACAGCUUCCCUCCAGCGUACUAAAUCAAACCUAAUACUAACAGAAAUAUGUUGAUAUAAUUUUAGAACAAAUUAAAAUUAAAAUCCAGGACAGGCAGUGCUAGUGCUCACACCUUGCCUCCCGGCAUCCUAUGUGGCCGCUGAGAUUACUCGAGCGGCUCAAGGCGGGGGCUAGACCUCUGUUUUUACACCUCCCAUGCUGGCACUGAGGCACCUAGGCACAAGGAAUGGGGAGAGAAACCAGCUAGGAACAACGCCACGCUCCGGCCUACUUCUGUGUGCAAAAAAUAAACAAAAUGCAGGAAACUGGCAAAGGAAAAUGUCGCUCCCAAGAGCCAGAGGCAGAACUGGUACUACAGGUAGGGCUGGUGUUUAUUAUGUAGGGCUCUUAAAGGUGGUUUUAAGGAUGGCGGUGUCCCCUUAAGGACGGCAGCACGCAGCUAAUAUUUUCUUUACUGCCACUGAAAUGCAAGUAAAUCCCAUGAAUUAAUAUAUUCACUUCAGGAAGAAUUCCCAUUCUUUUCUUAGGAUAUCAAAAUGGAGCCAUCAUCAGUCAGUUAGUUAAAUAGGAGUAUCUGGAGAGUAAGUAAAUGGAAGAGCUUUCAAACGCAGGGCUAAAAAUGCCCAAUGAAUGUGUAGGGGGCUUCAAUAAAAAGAUUUUGACUUGUGUUUUCACCCCUUUCCCACUUUGCUCAUUGUUUACUGACACUGCUAUGGACACAGCAUUCAGGCACUGCCUGCCCGAGCCCUGGGAUGUAAAAAUGUCAUCUCUAUUGUGCUGCUGGGCCGGCUUUGAUGCCGCCGCCGCCCUUUGUGCGCGCCUCUAAAUCCCUUUAUAAGGCUGUCCCGAUUGUCCGCGCCGCACAUCGCCACAAAAGCUCGUCUUAUGAGAAAGUAAAAAAGUCAGAGAGGGGCCGAAUGACGGGAGAUUGGGCCUUUGCUGUAAAAAGCCCACUGUUUGUCUUCAGUUCUCUCCGAGCAAUUGCAAAGUUUGGGCCGCGGCCGCGGCAGCAAAGCCAGGGCUCGCGUUGAAAAGCCAGCCCGCUGGGACACGUCCUCCUUACCUUCCAUCUACAACUGCCAGUGUUGUUUUUGUAAGGAGUGGGUGCUACGGAGGGGAAGAGUUAAGCCCUAGAAGUGCUCCUGGAGUGUAUUUUCCCAUUUCUGAAGUAGGACUCGUGCACAUUUCAUGUGAGGAGCUGCGACGGACUGCACGCAGAUUCAAGCAGUGCUGCAAAAAGUGCCCAUCGUUACACAGAGCAAACCCGCAAUAAAUACAGCCCUGUCCCCGCGGGACCGCGCGCCUUCGGGACGGGAACCCGAGCUGCGGACUCGCACUGCUGCUCAGGCAGUUGUUCUCCUGCCUAAUGCUAUUCUGACUUGUCCUGAAUGUUAGUGGGCAGGAGGCAGACAAAGGCUGGAUAAGGUCUUAUUCUUUCGGCGUGGGCUAUCGGCAUGGGAGGACGGUGAUUUCAUGGCUUUUGUUGCCGAGGUUAGGGACCGAAUUCUCUCACUGAAUUAGAAUGGUAACAAGUGGGACUGGGGAUCUCUGGGGCUUUUGUAGUGCACUCAUCUGAGAGAUUGCGCUUUUCUCAGCCCUUCAGAUUUAUUUUGCCAAAGUUACAGGGCAAUUAUGGAAAUGCGCCCUUUGAAGCUCGGCCGAUUUCUCUUUAUUUUCUCUCCCCCCCACCCCACCCCAGCAAAGCCAAGCUUCCCUCGCCUCCUUUCUUCAGCCGAGCGGCCCGCACUGACGCUGGGGUUUUGAGUGGCGACUCUGCUAAGCUUUGGAACAGCAAGAAAAACUUUUAAUAAAUAUAUGCUAAAAACCAGGCUUUGAAGCUUUUUGGGAAGGAAGUGCAAAAUAACAGGGAGGUAACGACCUCCUAGGAAAGGGUCUGCGUAUGUGGCAUGCUGGAAGAUCCACGCUAUGAAAAGAGCCUCAGUGCGGCGGAGCGCGGCGUUCAGCCAUGCCACUGCCCACUGCACCGCGCUGCGCGGGGCUCAGCUGCACCUCACACUGCAGUGAGGGGCCCAGGGCAAACAGCGCUGCGCUUUCUCACCCUCCUACACUAUUUAUCAGCACAGUUUGGAAUCUUGGUGCUGCCUGUGAGCUAAUAUGACCUACUUUUUACUUUACUUCUGUCCUACCCCUAAGGAAACGCAUCCAAAACAAGAUGGUCAGACCUGGAGCUAUGUGGUCUCUGAUUAGGACUGCUUUUUGCGCCCAAACUCAGUUUUGCACCUCUGUUUGGCCCCCCUUUUGUUUCUCUAUUUGCAGCAGGCUGCCUUGCACCUGUAGGAUAAACCGAGGCUUUUCUGGGCCAUUCAACAAAUGCUAUGGGCCACACUCAGACUUGAUGUGAGUAGGAGAUAACUAUUGGUCUCCCUGAAACUUACAUACACCUACACAGGACAUAAGCCCAACCUGAAAUGUAGACCUUUCUAUCAGCAACAAAACAUGGUAAGAAUUGCAAUAUUCCUUGCCUGUGUUCUGUAACUGCGGUGCAAAUAUCCUUUGUGCUCUUUACAGAGCUUAUGAGGGAUCUUAGGACCUUCAGCAGCACAGAAUACAAGAGCCUG